rnacentral:tRNA from 1 species
GUUCUUAUAGUUGAAUAACAACGGUGGUUCUUCAAAUCACUGGUCCCGGUUAAAAUCCGAGUGGGAAUU